AGGAUCAUUACCGAGUGUAGGGUUCCUAGCGAGCCCAACCUCCCACCCGUGUUUACUGUACCUUAGUUGCUUCGGCGGGCCCGCCAUUCAUGGCCGCCGGGGGCUCUCAGCCCCGGGCCCGCGCCCGCCGGAGACACCACGAACUCUGUCUGAUCUAGUGAAGUCUGAGUUGAUUGUAUCGCAAUCAGUUAAAACUUUCAACAAUGGAUCUCUUGGUUCCGGCAUCGAUGAAGAACGCAGCGAAAUGCGAUAACUAGUGUGAAUUGCAGAAUUCCGUGAAUCAUCGAGUCUUUGAACGCACAUUGCGCCCCCUGGUAUUCCGGGGGGCAUGCCUGUCCGAGCGUCAUUGCUGCCCAUCAAGCACGGCUUGUGUGUUGGGUCGUCGUCCCCUCUCCGGGGGGGACGGGCCCCAAAGGCAGCGGCGGCACCGCGUCCGAUCCUCGAGCGUAUGGGGCUUUGUCACCCGCUCUGUAGGCCCGGCCGGCGCUUGCCGAACGCAAAUCAAUCUUUUCCAGGUUGACCUCGGAUCAGGUAGGGAUACCCGCUGAACUUAA
rnacentral:rRNA from 1 species